rnacentral:rRNA from 1 species
GAUGAACGCUGGCGGCGUGCUUAACACAUGCAAGUCGAACGGAAAGGCUCCUGCUUGCAGGGGUACUCGAGUGGCGAACGGGUGAGUAACACGUGGGUGAUCUGCCCUGCACUUCGGGAUAAGCCUGGGAAACUGGGUCUAAUACCGGAUAGGACCACAUUUUGGAUGGGGUGGUGGAAAGUUUUUCGGUGUGGGAUGAGCUCGCGGCCUAUCAGCUUGUUGGUGGGGUAAUGGCCUACCAAGGCGUCGACGGGUAGCCGGCCUGAGAGGGUGUACGGCCACAUUGGGACUGAGAUACGGCCCAGACUCCUACGGGAGGCAGCAGUGGGGAAUAUUGCACAAUGGGCGCAAGCCUGAUGCAGCGACGCCGCGUGGGGGAUGACGGCCUUCGGGUUGUAAACUCCUUUCGCUAGGGACGAAGCGCAAGUGACGGUACCUGGAGAAGAAGCACCGGCUAACUACGUG